UCGACGGACUCAUAUUGAAACCUAGUGAUGUAUGAGUUAGUGGCGGACGGGUGAGUAACGCGUGGAGAACCUGCCGUAUACUGGGGGAUAACACUUAGAAAUAGGUGCUAAUACCGCAUAAGCGCACAGCUUCGCAUGAAGCAGUGUGAAAAACUCCGGUGGUAUACGAUGGAUCCGCGUCUGAUUAGCUUGUUGGCGGGGUAAAGGCCCACCAAGGCGACGAUCAGUAGCCGGCCUGAGAGGGUGAACGGCCACAUUGGGACUGAGACACGGCCCAAACUCCUACGGGAGGCAGCAGUGGGGAAUAUUGCACAAUGGGGGAAACCCUGAUGCAGCGACGCCGCGUGAGUGAAGAAGUAUUUCGGUACGUAAAGCUCUAUCAGCAGGGAAGAAAAUGACGGUACCUGACUAAGAAGCCCCGGCUAACUACGUGCCAGCAGCCGCGGUAAUACGUAGGGGGCAAGCGUUAUCCGGAUUUACUGGGUGUAAAGGGAGCGUAGACGGCAGCGCAAGUCUGGAGUGAAAUCCCAUGGCUUAACCAUGGAACUGCUUUGGAAACUGUGCAGCUGGAGUGCAGGAGAGGUAAGCGGAAUUCCUAGUGUAGCGGUGAAAUGCGUAGAUAUUAGGAGGAACACCAGUGGCGAAGGCGGCUUACUGGACUGUAACUGACGUUGAGGCUCGAAAGCGUGGGGAGCAAACAGGAUUAGAUACCCUGGUAGUCCACGCUGUAAACGAUGAUUACUAGGUGUUGGGGGACCAAGGUCCUUCGGUGCCGUCGCAAACGCAUUAAGUAAUCCACCUGGGGAGUA
rnacentral:rRNA from 1 species